rnacentral:rRNA from 1 species
AUGGAGAGGCAGUCCAGCUCCCGGUUCGGCGCGCUGGAGAAGCUCAAGAGCUUCCGGGGCAUAGAGAAGCAGAGGAGCUUCAAGUUCCUGUCCAUGGAGAAGCAGCAGAGCUUCAAGGAGAGGCGGAGCCGGGACAGCCCCGGCAAGAGGGGCGACAGCGCGCUCCACCUCGCGGCGAGGGCCGGCAAUGUCUCCCACGCCCAGAGGAUCUUCGCCGACUGCGAUCCGGAGCUGGUGGGGGAGCUGGCCGCCCACCAGAACCUGGACGGCGAGACGGCGCUCUACGUGGCCGCCGAGAAGGGGCACGUCGACGUCGUGUGCGAGAUACUCAAGGCCUGCGACGUGCAGUCAGCAGGGCUCAAGGCGGCCAACAGCUUCGAUGCCUUCCAUAUCGCUGCGAAACAGGGCCAUCUGGAUGUUCUGCAGGAGCUAUUGCAGGCAUUUCCUGCGUUAGCUAUGACGACGAGUUCUGUGAAUGCCACAGCUUUAGACACCGCCGCAACGCAGGGCCACAUUGGUAUCGUCAAUCUUCUACUGGAUACAGACGCAAGCCUUGCCAGGAUCGCAAGAAGUAACGGGAAGACAGUUUUGCAUUCGGCCGCAAGAAUGGGUCAUGUGGAGGUGGUAGCGUCGUUGUUGAAUAAAGAUCCAGAUAUUGGUUUCAGAACAGACAGGAAGGGUCAAACAGCACUGCACAUGGCUUCUAAAGGCCAGAAUGCUGAAAUUCUGCUUGAGCUAUUGAAGCCCAAUGUCUCAGUAAUCCAUUUGGAGGAUAACAAGGGGAAUAGGGCACUGCAUGUUGCAACGCGCAAGGGCAACACCGUUAUGGUUCAGACUUUAAUAUCCAUUGAAGAGAUUGAUAUCAAUGCAGUCAAUAAGGCUGGAGAGACUGCUUUUGCCAUUGCAGAGAAACAAGGCAACGAAGAGCUUGUUAACAUCCUGCGGGAGGUUGGUGGAAUAACUGCAAAAGAGCAAGUAAAUCCUCCGAAAUCAGCCAAGCAGCUUAAGCAAACAGUGAGCGAUAUCAAGCAUGACGUCCAGUCACAGAUCAAGCAAACGCGUCAGACCAAGAUGCAUGUCCACAAGAUCAAGAAGAGGAUUCAGAAGCUCCACAUUGGCGGGCUAAACAAUGCCAUCAACUCCAAUACCGUUGUCGCAGUACUUAUUGCCACGGUUGCCUUUGCAUCCAUAUUCACCGUUCCUGGUAAUUUUCUUGAGAGUAUGGACAAAGCGACUGAGCCCCAUAUGAGCUUAGGGCAAGCACUGGUAGCAAGCAGGCCAGCCUUUAUAAUCUUCCUGGUCUUCGAUUCCCUGGCUCUCUUUAUCUCGCUUGCGGUCGUCGUCGUCCAGACUUCCCUGAUUGUUGUUGAGCAGAAGGCGAAGCAGAAGAUGGUGUUUGUGAUGAACAAGUUGAUGUGGCUCGCGUGCCUCUGCAUAUCAGCAGCCUUCAUAGCGCUGACCUAUGUCGUGGUGGGCCGCAAUGACGAGUGGCUGGCCUGGUGCACGAUGGCGAUCGGCACCGUGAUUAUGCUCACCACCAUUGGUUCUAUGUGCUAUUGCAUCAUCAGCCACAGGAUGGAAGCGCAGAGCAUGAGGAGGAUCAGGAGGUCCUCCAUGAGCCAGUCAUGGUCCAUAUCAGUCGACUCGGACACGGAGCUAGACAUGACCAGCAGAAACAAGACGAUGUAUGCGCUCUAG